rnacentral:rRNA from 1 species
UACGAAGGGGGCUAGCGUUGUUCGGAAUUACUGGGCGUAAAGCGUGCGCAGGCGGCUUUGCAAGACAGAUGUGAAAUCCCCGGGCUUAACCUGGGAACUGCAUUUGUGACUGCAUGGCUGGAGUGCGGCAGAGGGGGAUGGAAUUCCGCGUGUAGCAGUGAAAUGCGUAGAUAUGCGGAGGAACACCGAUGGCGAAGGCAAUCCCCUGGGCCUGCACUGACGCUCAUGCACGAAAGCGUGGGGAGCAAACAGG